AGUCUCAGUUCGGAUUGGAGUCUGCAACCCGACUCCAUGAAGCUGGAUUCGCUAGUAAUCGCGCAUCAGCCACGGCGCGGUGAAUACGUUCCCGGGCCUUGUACACACCGCCCGUCAAGCCAUGGGAGCCGGGGGUACCUGAAGUGCGUGACCGCAAGGAGCGCCCUAAGGUAAAACCGGUGACUGGGGCUAAGUCGUAACAAGGUAUC
rnacentral:rRNA from 1 species